rnacentral:rRNA from 1 species
UACGGGGGGGGCAAGCGUUGUUCGGAAUUACUGGGCGUAAAGGGCUCGUAGGCGGCCAACUAAGUCGGACGUGAAAUCCCUCGGCUUAACCGGGGAACUGCGUCUGAUACUGGAUGGCUUGAAUCCGGGAGAGGGAUGCGGAAUUCCAGGUGUAGCGGUGAAAUGCGUAGAUAUUGGGAGGAACACCAGUGGCGAAGGCGGCUCACUGGACCGGUUCUGACGCUGAUGCGCGAAAGCGUGGGGAGCAAACGGG